UGGGGAAUAUUGCACAAUGGGCGCAAGCCUGAUGCAGCCAUGCCGCGUGUAUGAAGAAGGCCUUCGGGUUGUAAAGUACUUUCAGCGGAGAGGAAGGGGAAGCGGUUAAGAGCUGCUUUCAUUGACGUUACCCGCAGAAGAAGCACCGGCUAACUCCGUGCCAGCAGCCGCGGUAAUACGGAGGGUGCGAGCGUUAAUCGGAAUUACUGGGCGUAAAGGGCACGCAGGCGGUCUGUGAAGUCGGAUGUGAAAUCCCCGGGCUUAACCCGGGAACUGCAUUCGAAACUGGCAGGCUGGAGUCUCGUAGAGGGGGGUAGAAUUCCAGGUGUAGCGGUGAAAUGCGUAGAGAUCUGGAGGAAUACCGGUGGCGAAGGCGGCCCCCUGGACGAAGACUGACGCU
rnacentral:rRNA from 1 species